CGAAGCGUGCGAUUGGAUUGCACGUCUAAGCAGUAAGGCUGAGUAUUAGGCAAAUCCGGUACUCAUUAAGGCUGAGCUGUGAUGGGGAGAAGACAUUGUGUCUUCGAGUCGUUGAUUUCACACUGCCGAGAAAAGCCUCUAGAUAGAAAAUAGGUGCCCGUACCGCAAACCGACACAGGUAGUCAAGAUGAGAAUUCUAAGGUGAGCGAGCGAACUCUCGUUAAGGAACUCGGCAAAAUGACCCCGUAACUUCGGGAGAAGGGGUGCUCUUUAGGGUUAACGCCCAGAAGAGCCGCAGUGAAUAGGCCCAAGCGACUGUUUAUCAAAAACACAGGUCUCUGCUAAACCGUAAGGUGAUGUAUAGGGGCUGACGCCUGCCCGGUGCUGGAAGGUUAAGAGGAGUGGUUAGCUUCUGCGAAGCUACGAAUCGAAGCCCCAGUAAACGGCGGCCGUAACUAUAACGGUCCUAAGGUAGCGAAAUUCCUUGUCGGGUAAGUUCCGACCCGCACGAAAGGCGUAACGAUUUGGGCACUGUCUCAACGAGAGACUCGGUGAAAUCAUAGUACCUGUGAAGAUGCAGGUUACCCGCGACAGGACGGAAAGACCCCGUGGAGCUUUACUGUAGCCUGAUAUUGAAAUUCGGCACAGCUUGUACAGGAUAGGUAGGAGCCUUUGAAACGUGAGCGCUAGCUUACGUGGAGGCGCUGGUGGGAUACUACCCUAGCUGUGUUGGCUUUCUAACCCGCACCACUUAUCGU
rnacentral:rRNA from 1 species